UACAGAGGGUGCAAGCGUUAAUCGGAAUUACUGGGCGUAAAGCGCACGUAGGUGGUUACUUAAGUUAGAUGUGAAAACUCGAGGCUCAACCUCGAGACGUCGGUUGAAACCGUAUGGCUAGAGUCCGGAAGAGGAGAGUGGAAUUCCCGGUGUAGCGGUGAAAUGCGCAGAUAUCGGGAAGAACACCCGUGGCGAAGGCGGCUCUCUGGGACGGUACUGACGCUGAGACGCGAAAGCGUGGGGAGCGAACAGG
rnacentral:rRNA from 1 species